rnacentral:lncRNA from 1 species
UUUGGUAUUAUGCUACUUUAUUCUGCUGUCUGUCUUUUGUGGAAGAUCGGAAAGAAACACUUUGCCAACUACAGUUACCACGACAUUCACUUGAAUUAGUAAACUUGUAUUCAGAAUGUGGACAAAGCAUGAAAUUUUAAGGGAAACGGUCUGAAAAGUUCCUGAAACUCUAGCCCAUUUUUAAAAAAACUGUCAAAAACUUGUUUCUACUAUUUUUUCUUGCACUCAAAUCUUAGUUUUCAUCAGUUACAUAAAUAAAUUUCCACAAAUAUUUAGUCGCUUCAAUGUUUUAAUUGGUCGUGGAAGCA